UACGUAGGCAGCAAGCGUUGUUCGGAAUUACUGGGCGUAAAGAGUAUGUAGGUGGUGUCCUAAGUUUGGUGUGAAAUCUCCUGGCUCAACUGGGAGGGUGCGCCGAAAACUGGGAUGCUUGAGUGUGGGAGAGGAAAGCGGAAUUCCUGGUGUAGCGGUGAAAUGCGUAGAGAUCGGAAGGAACACCAACGGCGAAAGCACUCUGCUGGGCCGACACUGACACUGAGAGACGAAAGCUAGGGGAGCGAAUGGG
rnacentral:rRNA from 1 species